UACGGGGGGGGGCAAGCGUUGUUCGGAAUUACUGGGCGUAAAGGGUUCGUAGGUGGCCAACUAAGUCAUACGUGAAAUCCCUCGGCUUAACCGAGGAACUGCCCUCCAAACUGCUUGGCUUGAGUCCGGGAGAGGUGAGUGGAAUUCCCAGUGUAGCGGUGAAAUGCGCAGAUAUCAGGAAGAACACCCGUGGCUAAGGCGGCUCUCUAGUACGGUACUGACGCUGAGACGCGAAAGCGUGGGGAGCGAACAGG
rnacentral:rRNA from 1 species